AGUGAACGCUGGCGGUAGGCCUAACACAUGCAAGUCGAACGGCAGCACAGUAAGAGCUUGCUCUUACGGGUGGCGAGUGGCGGACGGGUGAGGAAUACAUCGGAAUCUACUUUUUCGUGGGGGAUAACGUAGGGAAACUUACGCUAAUACCGCAUACGACCUACGGGUGAAAGCAGGGGAUCUUCGGACCUUGCGCGAUUGAAUGAGCCGAUGUCGGAUUAGCUAGUUGGCGGGGUAAAGGCCCACCAAGGCGACGAUCCGUAGCUGGUCUGAGAGGAUGGUCGGCCACACGGGAACUGAAACACGGUCCAGGCUCCUACGGGAAGCAGCAGGAGGGAAAUUUUGGCAAUGGGGGGAAGCCUUAACCAACCAAACCGCGUGGGUGAAAGAGGGCUUUGGGGUUGAAAACCCUUUUUGUGGGGAAGAAAAAAUGGAGGAUUAAACCCCCACUGUUUGACGGUAACCAAAAAAAAAGCCACGGCUAACUUCGUG
rnacentral:rRNA from 1 species